rnacentral:rRNA from 1 species
AGAGUUUGAUCCUGGCUCAGAUUGAACGCUGGCGGCAUGCUUUACACAUGCAAGUCGGACGGCAGCACAGAGAAGCUUGCUUCUUGGGUGGCGAGUGGCGAACGGGUGAGUAACAUAUCGGAACGUACCGAGUAAUGGGGGAUAACUAAUCGAAAGAUUAGCUAAUACCGCAUAUUCUCUGAGGAGGAAAGCAGGGGACCUUCGGGCCUUGCGUUAUUCGAGCGGCCGAUAUCUGAUUAGCUAGUUGGUGGGGUAAAGGCCUACCAAGGCGACGAUCAGUAGCGGGUCUGAGAGGAUGAUCCGCCACACUGGGACUGAGACACGGCCCAGACUCCUACGGGAGGCAGCAGUGGGGAAUUUUGGACAAUGGGCGCAAGCCUGAUCCAGCCAUGCCGCGUGUCUGAAGAAGGCCUUCGGGUUGUAAAGGACUUUUGUCAGGGAAGAAAAGGACAGGGUUAAUACCCCUGUCUGAUGACGGUACCUGAAGAAUAAGCACCGGCUAACUACGUGCCAGCAGCCGCGGUAAUACGUAGGGUGCGAGCGUUAAUCGGAAUUACUGGGCGUAAAGCGAGCGCAGACGGUUACUUAAGCAGGAUGUGAAAUCCCCGGGCUCAACCUGGGAACUGCGUUCUGAACUGGGUAGCUAGAGUAUGUCAGAGGGGGGUAGAAUUCCACGUGUAGCAGUGAAAUGCGUAGAGAUGUGGAGGAAUACCGAUGGCGAAGGCAGCCUCCUGGGAUAACACUGACGUUCAUGCUCGAAAGCGUGGGUAGCAAACAGGAUUAGAUACCCUGGUAGUCCACGCCCUAAACGAUGUCAAUUAGCUGUUGGGCAACUUGAUUGCUUAGUAGCGUAGCUAACGCGUGAAAUUGACCGCCUGGGGAGUACGGUCGCAAGAUUAAAACUCAAAGGAAUUGACGGGGACCCGCACAAGCGGUGGAUGAUGUGGAUUAAUUCGAUGCAACGCGAAGAACCUUACCUGGUCUUGACAUGUACGGAAUCCUCCAGAGACGGAGGAGUGCCUUCGGGAGCCGUAACACAGGUGCUGCAUGGCUGUCGUCAGCUCGUGUCGUGAGAUGUUGGGUUAAGUCCCGCAACGAGCGCAACCCUUGUCAUUAGUUGCCAUCAUUUAGUUGGGCACUCUAAUGAGACUGCCGGUGACAAACCGGAGGAAGGUGGGGAUGACGUCAAGUCCUCAUGGCCCUUAUGACCAGGGCUUCACACGUCAUACAAUGGUCGGUACAGAGGGUAGCCAAGCCGCGAGGUGGAGCCAAUCUCACAAAACCGAUCGUAGUCCGGAUUGCACUCUGCAACUCGAGUGCAUGAAGUCGGAAUCGCUAGUAAUCGCAGGUCAGCAUACUGCGGUGAAUACGUUCCCGGGUCUUGUACACACCGCCCGUCACACCAUGGGAGUGGGGGAUACCAGAAGUAGGUAGGGUAACCGCAAGGAGCCCGCUUACCACGGUAUGCUUCAUGACUGGGGUGAAGUCGUAACAAGGUAGCCGUAGGGGAACCUGCGGCUG